rnacentral:rRNA from 1 species
GAUGAACGCUGGCGGUAUGCUUAACACAUGCAAGUCGAACGGACUCUUCGGAGUUAGUGGCGGACGGGUGAGUAACGCGUGAGAAUCUGGCUUUGGGUUCGGGACAACCACUGGAAACGGUGGCUAAUACCGGAUGUGCCGAGAGGUAAAAGAGAAAUUGCCUGAAGAUGAGCUCGCGUCUGAUUAGCUAGUUGGUGAGGUAAAGGCUCACCAAGGCAGCGAUCAGUAGCUGGUCUGAGAGGAUGACCAGCCACACUGGGACUGAGACACGGCCCAGACUCCUACGGGAGGCAGCAGUGGGGAAUUUUCCGAAAGGGGCGAAAGCCUGACGGAGCAAUACCGCGUGAGGGAAGAAGGCUCUUGGGUUGCAAACCUCUUUUCUUAGGGAAGAACAAAAUGACGGUACCUAAGGAAUCAGCAUCGGCUAACUCCGUG